rnacentral:lncRNA from 1 species
GCCGCCGGAAUGGGAGCAUUCUGGAUGGGCAUCGUCAAGGGAUGUACUGGUUGAUCUGCGUGUUAUGUUGUCUCAAGAUUAGCUGAUGUGUAGUAUGACAAUUAGUGUGAAUGCGAUGGUCAUUAUCAGUUAUGUUUGUUUGAUGGUAUCUUUGUAUCGGUACGUAGUAUUUAGGUAUAGUGCAACAACCGAUUUGGAGGGAUGAUUUUUAGUAAAGGUCGCGGGCUUUGCCGUUGUGCGAUGAUUCUGAUAAUCGGGAUCGCACGGCCUUGUGCGGCGAGAUCAUUCAAUUUUGCCUAUCACUUUCGAUGGUAGGAUGUGGCUAUAUGGUGGUGAGGGUGCGGAGAUUAGGGUUCGAUUCGGAGAGGGGCCUGAGAAACGGUACCAAUCAGGAAGGCAGCAGGCGCAAUUACCAUCUGACGGGAGGUAGUGACAUAAUACAUACGGGUAUCGGUUGGUAAUUGGAUGGUACAUUAAUCCUUACGGGAUCAUUGGGGGCAGUUGGUGCAGCAGCGCCGGUAUUCAGUCAUAGCGUAUAUUUAGUUGUUGCAGUUAAAGUCGUGUUGGACUUUGGGUUGGGUCGGCCGGUCGCAUAGGUGUGCACGGUUUACUCGUCCUUUGUCGGCGAUGCGUCUACCUUAUGGGCGGGUGUGCUCGGGUUGUUAUUUGAGAAUUGAGUGUCAAGCAAGCUACGCUUGUUACUUAGAUGGAUACAUCAUGGAUUUCGGUCUAUUACGUUGGCCUUCGGGAUCGGAGUAUGAUUAAGGGAGUCGGGGGCUUGUAUUUAUGUCAGAGGUGAAUUCUUGGAUUUAUGAAGAGAAAAUGCGAAGAUUUGCAGGAUGUUUUCAUUAAUCAGAACGAAAGUUGGGGGCUCGAGAGAUCAGUACGUCCUGUUCAACAUAACGAUGCGACAGGGUCAGGGAUGUUGCUUUUGGACUCCGUGGCACUUAUGAGAAUCAAGUUUUUGGGUUCGGGGGGAGUUGGUGCAGGCUGAAUUAAGGAUUGCGGAGGGCACCAGGGUGGGCUGCGGCUUAUUUGAUCAAGGGGAAUUACAGGUCAGAUAGUAGGAUUGACGAUGAGAGCUUUUUGAUUCUAUGGGUGGUGGUGAUGGCGUUUUGUUGGUGGAGCGAUUUGUUGGUUAUUCGUUAGACGAGAUCGCUGUAAUGCUAUGUGGAGGUAUCCUCCAUGGCAGUUCUUGGGGAUAUGGCUUUUGGCACGGAGUUUGAGGCAUACAGGUCUGUGAUGCCUUAGAUGUUCUGGGCGCAGGCGCUACAUGAUGUAUUCACGGUAUAUGCCUUGGCGAGGCCGGGAAUCUUUGAAUUUCAUCGUGAUGGGGAUGAUCAUUGCAUUGUUGGUCUUAACGAGGAUUCUGUAAGCGCGAGUUCAGCUGCGUUGUGUCCUGCUUUGUAACACGCCGUCGUCUACGAUUGAUGGUCGGUGAGUGUUGGAUCGUGGCGAGUGGGCGGUUCGUGCCGCGAGUCGCGAGAUUCCUGACUUAUAUUUGAGGAGGGAGUGUAAAGGUUUCGUAGGUGAACUGCGGAGGAUCAUUGUCGACCUGCAGAGAACGACGUGAAAGUUACAUUGGCUUGCGGGACGAAGCAUUUGUUUCGGCCUUGUGAGUCCUUGUCGCGUGGUUCAUGCGUGGACCUACUUUGGUUUUGUAUGGAUGUCAUGUUGACAAUACAACCCGGACGAGAUGUGCCAGGAAACAAAUUAAGAACGUGUGUUGCGCCCGUUCGCGGUGUGGCACUGUUGUGGUUCUUUGUAACUUAAAGACUUCCGGCACGGAUUCUCGGUCACGAUCGAUGAGAGUAGCAAAUGCGUAUUGGUGUGAUUGCGAUCCGUGAACCAUCGGUUUUUGACGCAAGUUGCGCCGAAGCAUUCGGUUGAGGGAGUCUGCCUGGGCGUCGUCGUCGCCAAGGUCCUAUAGGGUGUUUGUGUUGGGGCGGAGAUUGGUCUCGUGCCAUGGGUGGUUGGCUAAUAGGAGUUCUCGCGAGGGAGCCGGUAGUGGUGGUUGAUAGAGUGUUGUGUGUGGUUUAUUUUUGAGGUAGAUGCUUUAAGUACCUGAUGUGUUGUUUAUGCGAUGCUUCGAUCGCGCCAGGUCAGGCGGGAUACCGUGAGUUUAGAUAUCAUAGGGAGGAAAGAACUUACUGGAUUCCUUGUACGGCGAGGAACGGGAAGGCCCAGUUGAAAAUCGGGCGGCUUCGUGUCGUUGUGUUGGGAGGUCUCAGCGGGGACGGGCAGUCCCUGGAAGGGGGGCGGAGAGGGUGAGAGCCCGUCGUGCCGGACCUGUCGACACGAGGCGCUGUUGCGAGUCGGGUUGUUUGGAUGCAGCCCAUAGGGCGGUAAAUUCGUCCAAGGCUAAUACUGGGUGGACGUAGCAACAAGUACGCGAGGGAAGAUGAAAGGACUUUGAAAGGAGUCAAAGAGUGCUUGAAUUGUCGGAGGGGAAGCGAUGGGGCCGGCGAUGCGUCCCGGAUGGUGGAACGGUUGUAGUCGGUCGCCGAUCGGCUCGGGCGUGGACGGUGGAUUGGUACGGCGGCCAAGCCAGGCUGUUGAUAUGCUGUGGAGAUGCGUUGUGCGAUCGUGGUUGGCAGCGCGCGCCGUCACGGCGUGCUUCGGCACUGCGUGCUCCUGGCACGGCUGCGGGACCUUUCGGCCGUCUUGAAACCGGCCAGGAGUCUGACAUGUGUGCGAGUAAGGGUGAGUAACCGCAAGGCGCAAGGAGCUGAUUGGCGGAGAUCCCCUCGUGGGGUGCACCGCGAGACCUUGAUUUCUGGAAGGGUUCGAGUGUGAG